GGGUGGUAAUGCCGGAUGCUCCGACUCCUCGCAUGGGGUGUCGGGAAAGAUUUCAUCGGUAUGGGAUGGGGUCGCGUCCUAUCAGGUAGUCGGCGGGGUAACGGCCCACCGAGCCUACGACGGGUAGCCGGCCUGAGAGGGCGACCGGCCACAUUGGGACUGAGAUACGGCCCAGACUCCUACGGGAGGCAGCAGUGGGGAAUAUUGCACAAUGGGCGCAAGCCUGAUGCAGCGACGCCGCGUGCGGGAUGACGGCCUUCGGGUUGUAAACCGCUUUUGAUCGGGAGCAAGCCUUCGGGUGAGUGUACCUUUCGAAUAAGCACCGGCUAACUACGUGCCAGCAGCCGCGGUAAUACGUAGGGUGCAAGCGUUAUCCGGAAUUAUUGGGCGUAAAGGGCUCGUAGGCGGUUCGUCGCGUCCGGUGUGAAAGUCCAUCGCUUAACGGUGGAUCUGCGCCGGGUACGGGCGGGCUGGAGUGCGGUAGGGGAGACUGGAAUUCCCGGUGUAACGGUGGAAUGUGUAGAUA
rnacentral:rRNA from 2 species